rnacentral:rRNA from 1 species
GACGAACGCUGGCGGCGUGCUUAACACAUGCAAGUCGAACGGAAAGGCCCUGCUUUUGUGGGGUGCUCGAGUGGCGAACGGGUGAGUAACACGUGAGUAACCUGCCCUUGACUUUGGGAUAACUUCAGGAAACUGGGGCUAAUACCGGAUAGGAGCUCCUGCUGCAUGGUGGGGGUUGGAAAGUUUCGGCGGUUGGGGAUGGACUCGCGGCUUAUCAGCUUGUUGGUGGGGUAGUGGCUUACCAAGGCUUUGACGGGUAGCCGGCCUGAGAGGGUGACCGGCCACAUUGGGACUGAGAUACGGCCCAGACUCCUACGGGAGGCAGCAGCGGGGAAUAUUGCACAAUGGGCGGAAGCCUGAUGCAGCAACGCCGCGUGCGGGAUGACGGCCUUCGGGCUGUAAACCGCUUUCGCCUGUGACGAAGCGUGAGUGACGGUAAUGGGUAAAGAAGCACCGGCUAACUACGUG